rnacentral:rRNA from 1 species
AUUGAACGCUGGCGACGUGCUUAACACAUGCAAGUCGUGCGAGAAAGGAGACUUCGGUCUCUGAGUAGAGCGGCGCACGGGUGAGUAACGCGUGGAUGAUCUACCCUUGAGUUCGGGAUAACGGUGCGAAAGCGCCGCUAAUACCGUAUAACAAUCCAUUUCAUCGUGGGUUCAAAGCAGGCCUCUUCAUGAAAGCUUGCGCUUGGGGAUGAGUCCGNGUCCCAUUAGCUUGUUGGCGGGGUAACGGCCCACCAAGGCUACGAUGGUAGCUGGUCUGAGAGGACGACCAGCCACACUGGAACUGAGACACGGUCCAGACUCCUACGGGAGGCAGCAGUGGGGAAUAUUGGACAAUGGGCGCAAGCCUGAUCCAGCAAUGCCGCGUGAGUGAUGAAGGCCCUCGGGUCGUAAAGC